CACCUAAAAGUCGGAACCACUUAUGAUGGUCUGUAUGACAAGACUAUGCACCUAAAUUGGAUCCAAUGUGAGCAUAUGGUGCGGGAGGUGACAUUAUAUACAAGCAUGUGCCAUAUCUCUGGCUAAAUCAUAAUCACCCAGGUGCAGGUUUAUGAGCUCUCAAUCACGUCUCACAUUAUCAAUAUCUCACAUAACAAAACAUAACUCACC
rnacentral:lncRNA from 1 species